GAUUUGGAGCAUCCGGAGGCCGAUUCGAGAGGCAAAGGCAUUGCGUUUGGACCGGAUAGAGGUGAGUAAUGAUUGUAAAUGUUGUCCUGAGGGUAUGAAACCCCGGAUUUCACAUCAUCGUGCUAUAUUGAGGUGACGCACACGCUAGAUGACGAGCGUGGAGUCGUACACUAUUGGGGAUUAUGACUUAGUCCAUCCCGAAUUACUGUUUUACUGCGUAAUUGAUUGAAAACUGUUUGCUAUCAUCAUGUUUUGGACUGAGUGCCAUAUUUGGGACUCGUGCCAACUGUUUUGGACCCUUAGAGGAUUUUUACUACUAUUCCUUACUGUUUUGAGUUUAUACUUGUACUCAGUCAUGCUAUAUUCUACUAUUUUUAUAACUCAGCCAUAUUUAUAUUGUUUUGACAUCUUAAAUGAUAUUUUGAGCUGAGCAUUUACAUUUUACUGUGCCCGAGUGGCUUUUAGAGAUUUCUGACUGAGUAGGGCCGAGGGCCUGUGUUGUGAGGUUAUUAUGGGAUCGGACUGCGCACCGUAGCGGUAUUGAGCUGAUUCAUGAUUAUGAGGCUGAGGGCCUGAGUUGUACGCCACAAGGUGGCUUGAUAUGUGGCCAAGGGCCUAUUGAUUAUGCCACGAGAUGGCUUGAUAUUGCGCUUGGGCCGUAAGGGGCCCCUCCCGGAAUCUAUACACCCCCAGUGAGUGAGGGUACCCAGUGUGAUAUGUGAUAUAGCCCGAGGGGCUGAUGUUGUUCCAUGUUAUUGCCCGAGGGGCUGAUUCUGUUGAUAUUGUGCCCGAGGGGCUGAUUUUAUGUGCUUACCUUUUCUCGCUGCUUUUCAUUCACUUGUUUAACUGUUAAAAGAUAUUUUAAAGAAGCUUAUACUGAACUAAGGUGUUUUAUGAGAUUUCACUGUUUUAUUGCUUUGCAAAGGUUUUUCACUGUCUCUUUGUAGCAUUUUGAUGUGUUUUCUUAUCGUCCAGCCUUCAUUUAUUUUUAUUACUCACUGAGUUGGCGUACUCACAUUACUCCAUGCACCCUGUGUGUAGAUACAGAAGCCUCGGGUCCUGCUAGUGAGGGUUGACUGCUUCCAACGGGCUAUUUUGGAGUUCACUAGGUAGCUGCUCGGCAUUCGUAGCCCAGUAUUUCUCCCUCUUAUCUUUAUUUUUCCUUGUACUAGAUUCUGUAAUAGACUGUGUAGUCCUUUCUCCAAACUCUUAGACUUAUGUUAGAUGCUCAUGACUGGUGACACCCCGAUGUCGGGCUGUGUUUAUUUCCGCAAAUGUUCUAUCUCACUUUUAUUUUGGGAUUUAUAGUAUGUUAAUAACUUAAAUUGAAUUUAUAUAUCUGUUUAAAUGGAUUGGGG
rnacentral:lncRNA from 1 species